rnacentral:rRNA from 1 species
CAGCAGCCGCGGUAAUACGUAGGGUGCAAGCGUUAAUCGGAAUUACUGGGCGUAAAGCGUGCGCAGGCGGUUUGUUAAGACAGAUGUGAAAUCCCCGGGCUCAACCUGGGAACUGCAUUGGUGACUGCAACGCUGGAGUGCGGCAGAGGGGGAUGGAAUUCCGCGUGUAGCAGUGAAAUGCGUAGAUAUGCGGAGGAACACCGACGGCGAAGGCAAUCCCCUGGGCCUGCACUGACGCUCAUGCACGAAAGCGUGGGGAGCAAACAGGAUUAGAUACCCCUGUAGUCCCUGUCUCUUAUAC